CCUACGGGAGGCAGCAGUGGGGAAUAUUGCACAAUGGGGGAAACCCUGAUGCAGCGACGCCGCGUGAGUGAAGAAGUAUUUCGGUAUGUAAAGCUCUAUCAGCAGGGAAGAAGAAAGACGGUACCUGACUAAGAAGCCCCGGCUAACUACGUGCCAGCAGCAGCGGUAAUACGUAGGGGGCAAGUGUUAUCCGGAUUUACUGGGUGUAAAGGGGGCGCAGACGGCGAUGCAAGAUAGGAGUGAAAGCCCGGGGCCCAACCCCGGGACUGCUCUUGGAACUGCGUGGCGGGAGUGCAGGAGGGGCAGGCGGAAUGCCUGGUGUAGCGGUGAAAUGCGUAGAGAUCAGGAGGAACACCGGUGGCGAAGGCGGCCUGCUGGACUGCAACUGACGUUGAGGCCCGAAAGCGUGGGGAGCAAACAGGAUUAGAUACCCGAGUAGUC
rnacentral:rRNA from 1 species